CUGCUAAGAAUAGUGCGACCAGCGGGGGGACAAAUUGCAAGUGGCGCUGGCAACUCAGGGCGCAAGUACAGAUUUCAAUUUGAAUGAAAAUCCAGCGAUAAAUUGGAAAUGGCAACAACUCGAAAGAAUUGAGCCGAAUCCCAACUUGAAUGUUUUUGCACCCCUGCUAGAAUAAACGGAAAGUCAGACCGGUGGUGGUUCCGGACUUGACAUUGCAGAUGAUUUUUCGCAUCUAGGUGGCACUACAAUCCCAUGAUGUUGGGGGUCAGCCGUCACCUUUCACGCUACCAAGCCACGAAGAGAGUCACAAUUGGAGAGCGUCUCGGCUGUCCAAGAUUGUUUUUGUGCAAGGUUGCAAACCUGCAAUCACACGAUUGGAGUCAAACCAUUCGAAUUGGAAAGGUCCCCAGCGAGCCCCAGCGGAAAUCUUCGUAUGCCAUUGCAACUGUGUCUAGAAUGUGUGCCAGCACAAAGUAAUUAAGUUCAGGGCUACAAAUGAGGGAUGCUUCCAUGUGUGCGUCAGCCAGCCGAGAGGGCCCGAGAAAGGGUUUCCUCACCUCAUCACAGCAGGGAUCCUCCUCCUCCUUCACCAGUUAACCAGAACACAUAAUUCUCUUACUUAUAUUGUUUUUUUUGCAAACGUAUGAGAAUGCUUAGAGCAAGAGUAAAUAAUUCACUUUUGGUCGAAUUAUUGCAGCUGCCAUUAUAGUCAAAUUAAAAUAUAAUAAAUGUCUUGGAUUUAUGAA